rnacentral:rRNA from 1 species
CCUACGGGAGGCAGCAGUGAGGAAUAUUGGUCAAUGGACGAAAGUCUGAACCAGCCAUGCCGCGUGCAGGAUGACGGCCCUAUGAGUUGUAAACUGCUUUUGUAUGGGAGUAAAUUCCUCUACGUGUAUCGUGUUGUAUGUAUCGUACGAAUAAGGAUCGGCUAACUCCGUGCCAGCAGCCGCGGUAAUACGGAGGAUUCGAGCGUUAUCCGGAUUUAUUGGGUUUAAAGGGUGCGUAGGCGGAUCGUUAAGUCAGUGGUGAAAUCCCGGGGCUCAACCUCAGAACUGCAUUUGAUACUGUCAGGCUAGAGUAUAGUAGAGGUAGGCGGAAUGCGUGGUGUAGCGGUGAAAUGCAUAGAGAUCACACAGAACACCGAUUGCGAAGGCAGCUUACUAGACUACAACUGACGCUGAGGCACGAAAGCGUGGGGAGCAAACAGGAUUAGAUACCCCAGUAGUC